AGAGUUUGAUCCUGGCUCAGAACGAACGCUGGCGGCAGGCCUAACACAUGCAAGUCGAACGGACCCUUCGGGGUUAGUGGCGCACGGGUGAGUAUCGCGUGGGAACGUACCCUUCAGUACGGGACAACAUCGGGAAACUGGUGCUAAUACCGUAUAAUAUCUCCGGAUCAAAGAUUUAUCGCUGAAGGAUCGGCCCGCGUCUGAUUAGGUAGUUGGUGGGGUAAUGGCCUACCAAGCCUACGAUCAGUAGCUGGUCUGAGAGGAUGAUCAGCCACACUGGGACUGAGACACGGCCCAGACUCCUACGGGAGGCAGCAGUGGGGAAUAUUGGACAAUGGGCGAAAGCCUGAUCCAGCAAUGCCGCGUGAGUGAUGAAGGCCUUAGGGUUGUAAAGCUCUUUCGCCUGAGACGAUGAUGACGGUAUCAGGAGAAGAAGCCCCGGCUAAUUCCGUGCCAGCAGCCGCGGUAAUA
rnacentral:rRNA from 1 species